rnacentral:lncRNA from 12 species
AGCUGGGCCAGGAGGGGACACAGGGAAUGUCCCGGCUGGGGGGGUGACAAAGGCCAGGCUGGGUGGGUGACAAAGGCCAGAGGACAAAGGCCAGGCUGGGUGGGUGAUAAAGGCCAGGCUGGGGGGGUGACAAAGGCCAGGCUGGGGAGGUGACAAAGGCCAGGGGACAAAGGCCAGGCCGGAUGGGUGACAAAGGCCAGGGGACAAGGGCCAGGCCGGAUGGGUGACAAAGGCCAGGGGACAAAGGCCAGGCCGGAUGGGUGACAAAGGCCAGGGGACAAGGGCCAGGCCGGAUGGGUGACAAAGGCCAGGGGACAAAGGCCAGGCCGGAUGGGUGACAAAGGCCAGGGGACAAGGGCCAGGCCGGAUGGGUGACAAAGGCCAGGGGACAAAGGCCAGGCCGGAUGGGUGACAAAGGCCAGGGGACAAGGGCCAGGCCGGAUGGGUGACAAAGGCCAGGGGACAAAGGCCAGGCCGGAUGGGUGACAAAGGCCAGGGGACAAGGGCCAGGCCGGAUGGGUGACAAAGGCCAGGGGACAAAGGCCAGGCCGGAUGGGUGACAAAGGCCAGGGGACAAGGGCCAGGCCGGAUGGGUGACAAAGGCCAGGGGACAAAGGCCAGGCUGGGCUAGGGAGGUGACAAAGGCCAGGCCGGGUGGGUGCCAAAGGCCGCGGAGAGUCUCUCACCUGCAGAAUUUCUGGUCGGUGUCCCGCAGGGGCUCGAAGAUGCAGGGCAGGGUGUCCUGGCUGCCCCAGGCCCCGGGGAGCAGCAGGGGCUGGUGCUUCGUCCCCUCCACGUGGCACUGGGGACGUGCCCAGGUGGUGACACCACAGCGAUCCUGGAGGGGACAGUCCCCAUCCCCACCAGCCGCUCUCCCAAAAACGAUGAAAAUUUGGAUCAGGAGAGGCUGUGCUCUAUCCAAACCCAUCCCCAAGGACGCACGGCCAGCCAGGACAGCAGGACACGUCCCCAACCCAGGGCAAGGCCCCUACCUUGACUCAGCCGCCCCCUCCAGCUCUCCUCUACAACUCUGGCCCCCCGGGGGGGGGGGGGGGGGGGGGGGGGGGG